rnacentral:SRP_RNA from 1 species
ACUGGAAGGUUGGCAUCUUCUGUAAUCACGCUUCUGUGAGGUCAGAUUGUGGGAUGGCCUGAGGCUGGGAAUCACUGUGUAACGGACCAGCUCAUGUUGACGGAACGUCCGCACUAAGCUUGCCAUCAAUAUGGGUGCCAUGGAGGAGUCCGCGGCAUUCAGGUUGGCUAAUGAGGGAUGAACCGGGCCAGGGGUGAAAACCAGCAGCCAAGAGUUCCCGUGGUAGGCAGUAGUGGGAUAGCGUACCGAAGUGAACUGCCGUUCCAGCCCACCACAUGGUUGGACCCACAUUCUUU